AUCUAUACUGUGAAACUGCGAAUGGCUCAUUAAAUCAGUUAUCGUUUAUUUGAUAGUACCUUACUACAUGGAUAACCGUGGUAAUUCUAGAGCUAAUACAUGCUAAAAACCCCGACUUCGGAAGGGGUGUAUUUAUUAGAUAAAAAACCAAUGCCCUUCGGGGCUCCUUGGUGAAUCAUGAUAACUUAACGAAUCGCAUGGCCUUGCGCCGGCGAUGGUUCAUUCAAAUUUCUGCCCUAUCAACUUUCGAUGGUAGGAUAGUGGCCUACCAUGGUAGCAACGGGUAACGGGGAAUUAGGGUUCUAUUCCGGAGAGGGAGCCUGAGAAACGGCUACCACAUCCAAGGAAGGCAGCAGGCGCGCAAAUUACCCAAUCCCGACGCGGGGAGGUAGUGACAAUAAAUACUGAUACAGGGCUCUUUCGAGUCUUGUAAUUGGAAUGAGUACAAUUUAAAUACCUUAACGAGGAACAAUUGGAGGGCAAGUCUGGUGCCAGCAGCCGCGGUAAUUCCAGCUCCAAUAGCGUAUAUUAAAGUUGUUGCAGUUAAAAAGCUCGUAGUUGAACCUUGGGCCUGGCUGGCCGGUCCGCCUCACCGCGUGUACUGGUCCGGCCGGGCCUUUCCUCCUGGGGAUCCGCAUGCCCUUCACUGGGUGUGUCGGGGAACCAGGACUUUUACUUUGAAAAAAUUAGAGUGUUCAAAGCAGGCCUUUGCUCGAAUACAUUAGCAUGGAAUAAUAGAAUAGGACGUGCGGUCCUAUUUUGUUGGUUUCUAGGACCGCCGUAAUGAUUAAUAGGGAUAGUCGGGGGCAUCAGUAUUCAAUUGUCAGAGGUGAAAUUCUUGGAUUUAUUGAAGACUAACUACUGCGAAAGCAUUUGCCAAGGAUGUUUUCAUUAAUCAGUGAACGAAAGUUAGGGGAUCGAAGACGAUCAGAUACCGUCGUAGUCUUAACCGUAAACUAUGCCGACUAGGGAUCGGGCGAUGUUAUUAUUUUGACUCGCUCGGCACCUUACGAGAAAUCAAAGUCU
rnacentral:rRNA from 1 species